rnacentral:lncRNA from 1 species
GAAAGUGGACAUUGAAACCACAAAAGAAAUUUGAAUGGGUUAUAUUUACCAAUUAGAAGUAUAUACAAAAAAUGGUCAAAGUUGACUUAAAGAUUCAAUUCAAAAUGAGUGUUAUGAAAAGAAAGUUUGAAAAUCAAAAGCAUAAGGCUUAGGUUUCUAAUGUUGAAAACAAUAGUCAAAUGUUUGCACAAAAAUGGUUUUGGCUUGAGUUAGGGUGGAGAGAUGAAGAAAAAGGUUAAGUCCUAAAGAGAACAAAAAGUGAGGGAUAAGAAAUGAAACCAUACUAGGAGUUCCUCUCUUGAGAUCAUAUAGAUGAUCCAAGUGGUUCCCAUCCUUUGGAAUAAGCAAGCACAAAGCAUAAGCAAUCAAACAGGUCUCACAAGAGAUCCUCAAUGUAUUUUGUAACUUCCACUGGGAUGAACAUGGUAAUGAUCUUCAAAUUAAGCUCAAAGGGAAAAAUCCUAGUUCAAGAGUAUACACAUCAAACAUCACACACUAUAUCCAUACAAAAAGGCUCAAACAAAUGGGUGGGCUUUACUCAAGAGGGGUCAUGUCAACCUCGCCAAACAAGCCAAACUGUACAAGGGUAAUUUGUAGCUCUUAACGACUAACAUUGAGAGUUAGGGUGAAGCUGAUCAAACAGGUAAUGAGGAUGAGACCUCAUGCUCUUAACCCUGGCCAGGGUGAGCUCGUGAUAAAGAAAGCGUGGGGAUCCAGAAAGUGAAAUCCUAUUCCACUUGACAGACACUGGACAAAGAUCUUGGGCACAUGUUCAAAAGCAUCAGCACGUAGUGCGAGCAUAAAGAACGACACACUGAAUAACGGGGGAUUGGCUACUAAUCCCCUUUAUCCGUCAAUUGCCUCUACUCUUGGAGGUCUUAACAAAGAACACAUGCCUCUCUUGGAGGUCUUUGGCACAAUUGUAAACAAACACAAACAGAGCCUCUGAAGGAGGACUUGCCAGCAAAAUGCCUGUAAAAAAGGUGACAGGACUUCCAGACUACAUGAAGUAAGAAGAUAACUACCUAAGUGGUGUGUCAACCAUAAUCCAAAGCUCAAGCAAGAGCUAAAAGCAAGCAACUAAGGUACCUGUACAAAGGCUAAACAGUUAAUACUUCAGUUAUAAAACCAACAGACAAACAGUGAAUCCUUCCAACAAUUACACAAUCCAAUGAACAAUGCCCAAGCAUUCAAAUGAACUCAUGAGCUCAAGCACAUCACUUAAAAUCCUACAAAACAAACNACUCAUACUUUAUUUUGUCAAUAUCAAAUUGUUGGCUUUAAGAGGAGGAGGAGGAUGAAAUUGAAAACACGAAAGUACUUCCCGUACACUUUGGAUAAAACCGCGACUGAUGAUGUAAGGCAUUGUUUCAAGUCCCAACACUGGAGAUAUAAGGAAGAUAAUCCCUAGUUAACCCCUUCGAGCAAGGAGUGGGAGUUUCUUUCUAUGCAUUAAAACCCUCAAUCUUAAACCAGGACAGGGUAGUCGUCAGUCAGUUUGACCAAGCGUUCAAACUUCACAAAGAGGAGCGUCUCAGUUGAGGAUCAACCAUACCAUAUCCCUCACAAGAGGUCGGGAAACCAUCAAAUUCCAAACGGUUGUCCUCACCCACAGGGCACGAGCCGGUCACAACUUUCAAAUCAAACGGUAGAUACAUAAUUCGUUUCAAAAUAAGAAACAAGAAAAACAAAAAAACAAAGAAAAAGAACCCGCUAAGUCGAAAGCUCAAAAACGAGUGACUUAGGCAAAAAAUUAGGGCAUCCCUGUGGAUUGUAAAUAUGAACCAUCCAGCAAAAAAGGGAAAUGAAAAAACAAUUUGCAAAAGAGGAAUCAAAAGAAAAACCCCCAGCAAGAACAAAUUCGUGUGGUUACAACCAAACAAGAGAAGGGUGACUGCCACACCAAAACCUUGUGGGUUCAUUAACCAUCACUCCAAAUCCCUUUUGGAAGACGAGCGCUUGUGUCGAAUUAGCUGAACGUAGAACUGGAGAACAUCACGAAGAGCGGGUGGGUUAGGAUAGGUUUCGAGCCUUAUAUCCUUUUCUUUGAAACCUGUGAACCAGACCACGGUACAACCCCAAAAGACCUAAUUGAAGCAGGGUUUAUUUCGAAAGCGUACUAUGGUCAGAACAAUCGUGUUAAAACUGAUCUCUCAACAAUUCGCUCAUUAAUUUGUGUUGAUAUUGAUAUGACAUUCUCAACCAGUGAUGCAUUAAUUAUAUGUCAUAAUUCCGGUGAGCAUGCUUGGAUUCAAAACUGCAUAAACAUGACAUUGCUAUUUUCAUUUCCAAAUAUGAACAUGUGUUACCCGUGAGUAAGCAUUUGACGUCAAAAGAGUUUUCAUAAUGAACGUGACUUGGAAAGCUUGGUGACCCCAGAGAAGAGAAUGAUGCCUAAAGACUUUGUUAAGCAGAGGCAAAUUACUUCAACUGAUUGGAUCAUAAGACAGAACACCUGAGAACUCCAUUGAGCAGAACAGGUCGCCUUGAUUUGAUCGUACUCAUAGAGACAAACGCCUGAGACUCCGUCGAGCAGGGGAAAAAAUAUUUUGAUUGAUAACAACAAGUUUUGAACUCCUAAGACUUUGUUGAAGUAGCGACCAGUCACUUCAUUUGAUUAUAUCAAGAAGCAAAAUGUCCAAGAACUUCGUUAAGCAGAAGGACAGAUGUUCAUAUUUCAAUCAAUCCGAGACAGUUACAUCGAGGGAUUUCAACAAGAUCCAGUUAGUUUGAGACAGUUAUGUCGAGAUUCGGCGAAUCUCUCCAAAGAUCAGAUAAUCAAGAAAGUAAAUCACCCCUGUUGAUCGCAUCAGAGACCAAACGCAUGAAGACUCCGUCGAGCAGGGGAAAAUUAUUUGGAUUGAUCCUAACAAGUGUUGAACGCCUGAGACUCCGUUUAGAAGCGACCAGUCACUUCAUGUGGUUUAUAUCUAAGAAGCAGAAUGUUCUAAGAACUCCGUUAAGCAGAAAAGAUAAGACACUUCAAUUUUCAGUCAAUCUGAAGCAAUCACGUAAAUGAAUCUCUACAAAUUGAUUGGUCUAAGGAAGGUUAUGUCGAGAUUCGAUAAAUCGCUACGAGACAUUAGUCAGGGGCAUUCCCUCGGAGUUUUCUAGCCAGAGGAAAAUUAUUCCAAGACCUAUAUUGGGGCAGGCUACCUCAGGAAUCCAAGAAGGUCAAUCUCUCAGAGAUAGUGAAUUAGAGUGUACAGUUCCAAGAUACUGAGGCAGGUCAGAUCGAGAUGGCUAUCAUGACAAAUGUGCUUCAUAAACUGGUGACUGGGGCAACACAUGCAGAGUUCCAAUUGACAGGGCAUGACUGACUAGAGAAGGAAAGCCUUUAUGUACUUUUGAGGUUGUUCAGAGCAAGAUCCAUGGUGCAUAAAAGACUUCUAAGUUCAAGAUGAAUAUCGGGAAUCACGCUAAACACCCCCCCCCUAAACCCUUAAGCAGAAACCACUGAUCUUAAUUAUAAAUCUAAUGGUUACUGGUACCCAAUGUUCUCAAUCUCCUGGUUAUUCCUACCAUACCGUCUAACCAAAAGCUUGACCACGCAUCACAUUGCAUAACAAUCAUUCAUUACAUUGUAUUACAUCAUAAAGCGCAUAACAUAUUCCAUUAAGGUGGAGCAUUAUGCCUUGCAAAUAAAACAUGCAUAAACUUCAUAAAAGUAUUUCUCGAAACGUAAAAGAAUCCUCCGUUAAGACAUUCUUCCUCCCCGGUUGCGAACAAUCUCCUAAAAACCCUCGAUUGGUAUUCCCCGCAUGUUUUUCAAAACUUUCCCUUGGGUUGCCUUUAGCAAAUACCUUGGGAAUCUUCAACCAGUCACUUACCUUUCGAAGCGGUCCACGGCCUUUUGCCUAGUGUAGCGGUGUAUUCGUUACCAUUGGAGAUAUUGACUAAAUCCAAGGUAAAUCAUACAAAGUCGAGUCGCCACCGCACUUCUAUUUAUCCAAAGGAAUGGUUAGAAAGCGAACAAAAACUAAAAGUUUUACAACAAAACUAGUAAAAGAAACAGAGAUCUGGUUAAGGGGGUUGGUUAUGCAAUGGGAAGGUGUUAGGCACCCAAAACAUCCAGGUACUCCUAGGGAGCCCUUUUUACACUUUUGCAAGGUUAUUGUUUUUGUGAAAAUUUUAUUUGUGCAAACAUGAUUGAAGAGAUGAGAAAAGAAUGUACAAGUUAUUUACAUUUUGUGUUGGAUGGAUAAACCCCUUGCUACGUUCCCUGUUAUAAAAAGAUAGGAUCAAAACCUCGUAGUUCGGGGUAAAAAUCUCAAAACAAAUGGGUGGAUUGAUUGGUCCAAAAGCCUUAAAGUCUUUUGUUACAAAAAGGAGAAAAACUCAACCUAAAACCACAAAUCCACCAUGUGAGGAUAGCUUCAACAUGCUGGUGAGGGGUUAACCCUAUAAUAAGCAGGAAGACUCAUGUCCAUCACUAAGGAUAAAGGUGAGUAUUACAUCUACCACAAAGAUAACUCAAACCUAAUAGCUAAAGGUUAUGAAAAAUCUUGAUUAAGAAAGUGGACAUUGAAACCACAAAGAAAUUUGAAUGGGUUAUAUUUACCAAUUAGAAGUAUAUACAAAAAAUGGUCAAAGUUGACUUAAAGAUUCAAUUCAAAAUGAGUGUUAUGAAAAGAAAGUUUGAAAAUCAAAAGCAAAGGCUUAGGUUUCUAUGUUGAAAAACAAUAGUCAAAUGUUUGCACAAAAAUGGUUUUGGCUUGAGUUAGGGUGGAGAGAUGAAGAAAAAGGUUAAGUCCUAAAGAGAACAAAAGUGAGGGAUAAGAAAUGAAACCAUACUAGGAGUUCCUCUCUUGAGAUCAUAUAGAUGAUCCAAGUGGUUCCCAUCCUUUGGAAUAAGCAAGCACAAAGCAUAAGCAAUCAAACAGGUCUCACAAGAGAUCCUCAAUGUAUUUUGUAACUUCCACUGGGAUGAACAUGGUAAUGAUCUCAAAUUAAGCUCAAGGAAAAAUCCUAGUUCAAGAGUA